rnacentral:rRNA from 1 species
GUGUUGAAGGCCCUGCAAAGCAGCAUCGCGGUGGCGGAGCGUCGUUUGCGACGCCCAACACACAAAACAAGCGGUGAGUGCUUUGGGGUGGGGUGACUGCGUACCUUUUGUAUAAUGGGUCAGCGACUUAUAUUCUGUAGCAAGGUUAACCGUAUAGGGGAGCCGAAGGGAAACCGAGUCUUAACUGGGCGUUAAGUUGCAGGGUAUAGACCCGAAACCCGGUGAUCUAGCCAUGGGCAGGUUGAAGGUUGGGUAACACUAACUGGAGGACCGAACCGACUAAUGUUGAAAAAUUAGCGGAUGACCUGUGGCUGGGGGUGAAAGGCCAAUCAAACCGGGAGAUAGCUGGUUCUCCCCGAAAGCUAUUUAGGUAGCGCCUCGUGAACUCAUCUUCGGGGGUAGAGCACUGUUUCGGCUAGGGGGUCAUCCCGACUUACCAACCCGAUGCAAACUGCGAAUACCGAAGAAUGUUAUCACGGGAGACACACGGCGGGUGCUAACGUCCGUCGUGAAGAGGGAAACAACCCAGACCGCCAGCUAAGGUCCCAAAGUCACAGUUAAGUGGGAAACGAUGUGGGAAGGCUCAGACAGCCAGGAUGUUGGCUUAGAAGCAGCCAUCAUUUAAAGAAAGCGUAAUAGCUCACUGGUCGAGUCGGCCUGCGCGGAAGAUGUAACGGGGCUAAACUGUGCACCGAAGCUGCGGCAGCGACGCUUAUGCGUUGUUGGGUAGGGGAGCGUUCUGUAAGCCUGCGAAGGUGUCCUGUGAGGGAUGCUGGAGGUAUCAGAAGUGCGAAUGCUGACAUAAGUAACGAUAA